rnacentral:rRNA from 1 species
AUUGAACGCUGGCGGCAUGCCUUACACAUGCAAGUCGAACGGCAGCACGGGAGCAAUCCUGGUGGCGAGUGGCGAACGGGUGAGUAAUGUAUCGGAACGUGCCCAGUCGUGGGGGAUAACGUGGCGAAAGCUACGCUAAUACCGCAUACGAUCUGUGGGUGUAAGCGGGGUACGGUAAGGCCUGGUGCGAUCGGAGCGCCUGAUAUCAGAUUAGGUAGUUGGUGGGGUAAAGGCCUACCAAGCCGACGAGCUGUAGCGGGUCUGUGAGGACGACCAGCCAGACUGGGACUGAGACACGGCCCAGGCUCAUACGGGAGGCACCAGUGGGGAAUUUUGGACAAUGGGCGCAAGCCUGAUCCAGCAAUGCCGCGUGCAGGAUGAAGGCCUUCGGGUUGUGAACUGCUUUUGUACGGAGCGAAAAGGCUCUCUCUAAUACAGGGGGGUCAUGACGGUACCGUAAGAAUAAGCACCGGCUAACUACGUGCCAGCCGCCGCCGUAA